rnacentral:lncRNA from 1 species
GUUAAUGAUCCUGUGGCGAUGAAGCUACUUAAUAAGGCAGGUGAAAUGCCUUCAUUGGAGCCCCCUGAUGACGAGAGCAUUAGAACCCUCUAUGUGGGUGGUGUUGAUGCAAGAAUCAGUGAGCAGGACCUAAGGGACCAGUUUUACGCACAUGGAGAAAUCGAGUCCAUUAAAAUGGUGUUGCAGCGUGGUUGUGCUUUUGUAACCUACACUACAAGAGAAGGUGCAGUGAAGGCGGCUGAGGAACUAGCGAACAAGCUAGUGAUAAAGGGCUUGAGACUGAAGCUGCUCUGGGGGAGACCACAAGCUCCUAAACCAGACACCGAACUGUCUGAUGAAGCAAGGCAGCAGGCUGCAGUGACUCACAGUGGAUUGUUGCCCAGAGCUGUCAUAUCACAACAACAGAACCAGCUUCCUCCACCCCCAGGCACUCAGGAACAACCCCCACAACCGAUGCCAUACUUCAACAUUCCGCCAAUGCUUCAGCAGGAAAGAGCAUAUUAUCCGUCAAUGGAUCCUCAGAGGAUGGGUGCCAUAGUUUCAUCUCAGGAUGGGGCUUCUAGUUCAGCUGCAGGGUCAGGGCCUGAAAACAAGAUUGGUUCUGAGAAACACCCACAAGGACAACACUAUGCAUAUCCACCGGUGCCUCCACCUCAAGGUCAAUUUUACCCACCUUACUAUCCACCACCACCCUAUGGGUAUAUGCCACCACCACCGCCUCCACAUUAUCAGCAGUAUCCCCCGCCUUAUCAAGCUGCCAGACCACCUCCCCCACCUCCUACCGGUGAGCAAGCUGCUUAUCAGCAGAAGCCUCAACCAGCAGGAGCUGCAGCACAACAACCUUAAUUUUGAGUGUUUUGUCUAAGCUGCUUUGAUCAAGAAGAACUUAUGUAAACUAGUGUUUCAUAUUUUCGUUACUGCAAAAAAAAAUUGUCACUGCUUGAGCCAUUUGAAUUAAGUAAUUUGAUUCUGUUGACAAUGCAAUUUUUUUAUCAUAUUAGUAAUUAUUAGGUGCCUCUAUUGCAAGCCAUUAGAAGAGAGGGUCUAUCAGAAACCACCUCUCUACCUUUAACGGUAGGGGUAUGGUUUGUGUAUACACUACCCUCUCCAAAUCCUGCUCGUGGGAUUAUACUAUGUAUGUUAUUGUUGUAUUAAAUGAUUAUGCUAGAACAUUAAAUCUUUCAAUCUUGGUCCUAUUACAAUAUAUAUCAUAAUUUUGAUCCCUAUUGAUUGACAACAACAAGCAAAAAUGGUUAAAAACGCAAGUCACGAGGCUACUAAAGUGAACCAACAUACCAUAACCUGCUAAAUACCAAAAACACUUUAUGGUUCACACACACUCCAAGUUUUCACUUACUUCCAAGAAAAUACAAAAGCUAAUAACAGAAGAUAACAAACUACUAGAAUUUUCCUGCAAACUGAUAAAUUAUAUAAGUAUGGUUCACGAGAAGUUUAGCAUAGUGUACUUGGUUUUAAAUAUCGAUAGAGCCAAAUAAAAAAUAUUAGGUAGUUUUCUCUCAUCUAUUCAAGACUCAGUGGACAAAGUUAUUCAGUACAUAGUCAAAGUGUCUUAUGAACCCCAUAUUAAGUAUUCAAUGAACUAAUUGAGAUGCGCGCAUCUUAAUUCUAUUGUUUAUAAGAAAAGAAAAAGAAACAAUGGUUCACAAGAAGUUUGAAUAGAUUAUUAGAUUGAAUGAUCUUCCUAGCUACCACUUGUUUAUGAAGACAAUUUUUUUAAAUAAUAAAAGUAGUUAUUUUGAAGAUAAGAGCUUUGUUUUCUUUUGAAUGUUAUAUGGUUUAUGUAAGUUUUUAUCUGUUGGGUCUUCAAAAACAUUGCAGACCUCUAAAAUCUUAUUGGGAACAUGUGAGCUAGUGAUCAACACAUGUGAAGUUUCUUCUACUUUCAUUUUCAUAUUCUGGAAUUUCACAUGGAUUCUUGGCUGUUUUCCCUAUGUAAAUUGACCACCAAUUUCUUUUGCUUUGUUUUCUUGUAUAUACACUAAAUAUUUUUUACAUUAUCAAGAUAGUUCAACUUUUUAUAUCAUUUUCACUAGGUUACUAAUUACUAAGUUUUUAUCGUAAAACUCUACUCGUACAAUAAAUAUAUAAAUAGUGCUGAAUUUGAUCCAAUACAAUAAACUCACAAAACUGUUUUUAAAAUAUAUUUGGUAUAUAUAAUCCACUGAACUAAUUAAUCUCGAUUCGCUUUAUUCAACACAAUAAUAAACUAACAAAACAAUAUGAUAUACGAAACUCAUUGAUCGAUCAAAUUAAUUAGGAUUCCUGAAUUCAUGCGAUAGAAGCUUACUAGGACAUUUUAUUGUUUCCUAUCAAAGAAUACUCAUAUCCAAAAUUGAAAUUGAAAUUUUUGUUAAAAAUGAAAAAGUCUUUAUCGUCCCACCACAACCCAUAGCGGUAUAUAUUAUAUAUAAUCAUGUUGCUAUCAAAGAACAUUGAGAAAUACCCAUAGAAUUCUACUCACUUUUUGAGUUUCCAACUGCCUAUAAAUACCUCAUCUAUCUAAUAUUCCCAACCAACAUAAACCAUCAAACAUCAUUUCUCUCUUUUGUUCAAUAUAAUAUAUCAAGAAAACAACAAAAUGGAGAAGAAACUUAGCCUAGUGCUAUUACUCCCUCUUCUAAUAAUGCUUCUUCUUGUUGGAACCCAUGUAAGCUAUCACCACACACACUCUUCAUAAUUACAAUCGAACUCAAAUUUAGAGUCAGUGAAUUUUGUACAUUAUAAAGUAAUUUAUAUAUUUCAAAAUAAUAAGUUUAGUUGAACUAAUAUAGACCUUUCUUUUAAUUGUUUCUUACAACAAUUUUUUUUAAAUUUUUUUUAUGUCAGGCAACAAUAAUAAUAGAGUCUCCAGCACCUCAGCCACAACCUCCUAACACUUUACCAAUGGUAAGUCUUGUUUGAAUUAUCACUUUUUUUGUCCUUUUUUUUUUUUUUGGUUAUGAAAUUUGCCAAUUCUUACUUAUAAAAUUGUUUUUAUUUUUCUGCAGAAUGGUACUACUCCUGGUAGUCUCCAUCCUCAAGGUAAUUAAAAAUGAAUUGUAUUCUAGUAAGGGUGAUCAGUUAAAUAUCUUUCGUAAAAAAAUAUAAUGUAAUUUAUAAUGUAUGUACAUCAAUUCUUGAACUCCCCUUAAACAUCCUUAUAUUUAUUAUUAUGUAUGAUUCAAAUUAUGAUCUCUUGGCUACUGAACUCAUAGGAUAGAGUUACAGUAGUCGAAGGGUGGUCAGUUGAAUAUUCUUAGCGAAAUUUCUGUCUUCGCCGUUGAAUUUAUAAUAUACUAUGUGAACUUAAUUUUUUUAUUAUUUAUUUUUUGCAGAUUGUUUACCAAAGUGCACAUAUAGAUGCUCAAAUACACAAUACAGGAAGCCAUGUAUGUUCUUUUGCCAAAAAUGUUGUGCAAAGUGUCUUUGUGUUCCUGCUGGGACUUAUGGGAACAAACAAUUUUGCCCUUGUUACAAUAAUUGGAAGACCAAGAGAGGAGGCCCAAAAUGUCCUUAAAAUCAUAUGCACUGACGGUGAAAAGAAUUUUUAUGUUAUGAGUUUACUUAAUUAAUCUGUUGUAGGAUGAUGUUUGUAUCAUUUUUAAGUUACAAGCUCCACUUAUUAUAGACUAUCUCAUGUAAUUAUGUUUUAAGUGAUUGAAUAGAAUAAAAUUAUUUUCUUUUAUCAUUAUAUAAAAGUGUUUUUUUGGCUAGUGUUUGUUUUGGCCAUACUCUACCUACUUAGUUAGGUGGAUAAUUGCUAAAAUAUAACUCAAUGUUUAUGUUGGCAACCAAGUAAAGUUCAUUCUUCUAAUAUCAUGGUCCAUACCCUAUUUCAUCUUCAAACUAAGACCACUCGAUCAAUUUUAUCCACCUAAUAAUUGAGAUAAAAAUUGCUAAUUCGAUUUUUUAAUAAACUAAUUAGUUCUGUAACUUGUUCAUAAUUCAAUAGUUAAUAAGUAAAAGUUAAAAGGGAGAAUAUCGCUUUAAUAAUUUUGAUUCCCAAUAUAAAACCCCCUAUGAUCGAAAUUAUCAAUCGAUCAACAUUAGGCUAAGCUUCUAAUAAUAAACCAACCUUCUAGAAUGAAAAUAUAGACCACUUUUCAUUCACGUGCAUUGUUUGGUUAAAGUCCUUUGAGGACCACAACUUUUUAUAAGUUGUAAUUAUACAAAGUCAAUUAACUACUAGUAAUAAUCUCUUUAGGCUGCCCCCCCACCCUCACCCCCCAAAUAAUAAUAAUAAUUUAAAUACACAAUUUAUUUUAUCAUAUUCUCUAAAAUUAUAAAAAUUUCUACUUUUUCAUAUUCUUGGAAUCAGGAUAGGUGUGUCUUGUAUCAACAAAGGUAAUGUAUGGGAAUGCUAAGUGAUGUAUUGUGAUAGGUGUAUUGUAUCAACAAAAGUAAUGUAUCGGAAUAUGAUGUAUCAGAUGUUGAGUAAUAUAUCUGAAAUCGAAACGCGAUGUAUCGGGACGUUGAAUGAUAUAUCCAAAAUCCUUAAAUUUUAAGAGAUUUUUGUAAUUUGGAACAGAGUAGGUAUAUGAUGUAAUUAGCUCUUAACACUGUGAGUUUUGUGUAAAAUAUACAAAAUAAAAUAAAAUAAAAUCUACUUCUACUUUAUAAAAAUGACAAAGGUAUUUAUAUUUGUUGUAUUUCAUCUUAUGUGAUGUAGCUUAAUUAUAUAUUUGACCAAUUUUUUUUUUUGUAAAACUCCUGAGCUAUCAAAGGAUGUUAAUAAACAAAAAAAUAAAUAAAUAGCAUCACUGAAAGAAUAUAUUGCUUCCAAACACUGAUACUACACUUUAUUUAUAAACAAAUUUUAAUUUGUAAGAAUUAAACAAAACUUUCUUUUCAUGAAGUCAAAAGAUCAAUAAACUAAACUUUAUUUGUCAAUCUUGAAUGUUCUAGAUACAUUCUAGAAUAUUCAUUUCUUAUUUCCUUUUAUAUUUAAUUACAUAUUUUAAUUGGAUUGAACAUUUUGAUGCAUUCCCUAAUGAACAAGAAAGUUGAAUUGACUAAUUGAUUAUGAGCAUAAUUGAAUUGACUUAAUGGAAGGAAGAAGAUUCAUAAUGAUAUCUUUAUCACCUUUUUAUUUAUUUAUUAAUGAAGGGUGAUAUAUAUAGUAUAAGUUUUACCUCUCUUUUAGCCUUAAACAUGUGGAUAUUGGAAAAUAUUCAUAACUAAUAUGAUACAAACUAUUAUUAAUAUGAUACAUCAAUAACAUUUGAUGAGUUUAGAGAAGCCUUUUACAACACCAAAAGGUCUCCAAAUACACAUAUAUUCAUCAAAAGAAACAAAGAGAUACAUGCACGCCUGAUUCUUAGAGAUUUUUCGACUAUAAAAAAAGGAUAUAUCAAACCAUAAUAAUAUACUCAAUCUUAAUCUUUAUUCUUCUUCUUUUGAGAUGACUUUGAGAGCCUUAUUGUUGUCGUUGUUGAUCCUUAGAAGAUUUCACAUAGAUCACAAUAAUAUGUACUUAUCUCAAAAUUAAUAUAUGAUCAAGAUCUUCUUAUUGAAAUCAGAAGUCUUGAUUUUGAUCGUAAUCUUGAUUUUCCUCGUGCUUUGUAAUGGGAGCCAAGGCAAAAGAGGAAUUGGCUUUAUGGAUGUUAUUAUUGUUGUUGGUGCUACUAAUGAAUUUAUUAUAUGAUUUCGAAUCAUCUAAAAUUUCAUUAUCACUAUUCUUUUUGGUUUUGAUUAAAAGAGAGUUUUGUUGGGAAGUGUUGAUGUUUUUGUUUGUUUUUUGGAGAGGAUAAAGGAGAUCUGUUGGGAAGAAAUUGUAUUGAAGGCCAGCCAUGAAAAGUGUUAAAAUCACUUGGUUUUUCUUGAUGUUUUUGUUUUGUUUUGUUUUAAAGAAUUGGAUGGGUUGUGCACUUAUUUAUAGGCACAAAAAAAAUUGGGAUUUUUGUAAUUGGCUAUUUGUUGGUGUGAAGGAUCCAAAUAAUAAUAAAUAGAAGAAAGAAAUAAAAGAAAAAGAGAAGAGAAAAUCAAACAAAUUAAUUUUAAGUCACUAUUAUAUUAUAUAUAAAAAAUACAAAUAUUGCUUAAUCAUGGUUCGCGUCAAAAGUAUAAAUACACAACCAUUAUUUAAAUAUGUUUAGUGUAAAUAUCGUAUGCGAGUAAAUUUUGAUGAGUGAAUCGGGAGCAAGGGGUCCUUAGUCUUUGAUUUGAGAAUUAAGGUUAAAGUGAUAAUUUAACAAAAUAUACUAUUGAUAAAAAAUUAAAUAAAAUAUGCUCGACUAAAGCAAUUGAACUAUUUUAUAACAGUUAGUAAGAGAUAAAAGUAUUAAAUGAGCGAGUUGGAUUGAUAUUGUCAUUGAAAGUUAAUAAGUAUUUCAUAGAAUAGUCUAAGUGUGUACCUAGAUUAUUCGAAUAAUUAGUCCACAUACUAAUUAAUAUUAGGGAAAAACAAGUACUCCAUAAUUUUUAAUUGGCUCUAGUUGUGACACUUGUCCAAGUGAAAAACCAUUGCUUCUGGAUAGUUGGCUAAAAGGCAGGCAUGAUUUUGACUAGUAUCUAUUUCUUUAACAAAUUUAAUUUGUCACCAAACAUUUUUAUUUAAUUGUGUAUACUGUAUGAUAUUCUAGCAUUUUGUAGUACAUGUUAUACUUACUAAACUAAAUUAACAAGUCACUAGAGGGAUGUUAAACGCCUUUUGUUCAUGUCACAACUUAUUUUAAGAUAUAUAAUAACAAUAAUUAUUGAGAAAUAUGACGAAUGCAAUCUUUCUAGCUAUUACAAUAAUAAUAUGAAUCAAUUACGAUAUUUAGUUAAUUUAUCGCUAAAUAAUUCGUAGCUAACAUGAUACUUGACUAGAUACUAAUACAACCAUCAGAUACCUUAUUCAUGGUACUCUGCUCCUAUAUUGUUCAGGCUCUCAAAAAAAUGUUGUUGCAUCUAUAACAAACCUGAAUUGCUCAUAACUAAAAUGCGAUUAUAAUUUUUUAGAAUAGUACUUGCAACGCCCAAGCUAUUGAAUUAUAAUGAAAAUAAUAAGUAACUAAUGAUAUUGAUAAGAAUGAGAGCUUAGACUCUAGAAGAAGAAGAAAGGGCAACAAUUUUUCUUCGAUAUGCAUAAACCCUGAAUCACAUACAACUAUUCCUUUUUGAUGAAACUGUUCUCACAUCCACUACUCAAUCCAAAUUCCAAAUUAAUCCGGCCCUAUUGCUUGUUCUCAAUCCAACAACUCUUGUCAGCCCAACAACUAGUUGUGUGACUUUGGUAUCCAUAUUAGGCUGGACUUGAUUCAUAACAACAUCUGUUUCAAAUCAAGUUUAGGAGGAUACAACACGCACGCAUUCUAUGGCAUUCUUUUGACACUCACUACUUCAAAUCAUAUACAAAAAUGAAUGUUAAGAGCUCCUGCAUUUGAAGACAGACUAAUAUUUAAGAAAGACCUACUUUCAAAUGUCACAAUUGUUUUUUCUCCUUUUUACACAAGACUAGAAUAGAUGAUCCACUUUCAAUUACUACCAACUAAACUAUUCCAAUGAACUAACUAAAAAAUGAUGAUAAUUUACUAGUAAUAAUGUACCACAUUGACAAGAGCUAUCAAUGUAAAGCUAAAGCUUGAACCCAAGCCAACACAAAUGUAGAGACUUCAACAUCUACUAUAUGUCCAAACCUCCCUUCGCCUACAUACAUAAAAGUAGAAGAGAGAGAGUUAGUAACUUGCAAAUGCUGAAACUUAGUCAUUAAUCAAUAUAAAGUAAAAAGGAAUGUAUAUAGCAGAUCUCAUUACCCUUGGCCUAACGAUUGGGAAAUCCAAAGAGUUAUAUAGAUGAAGGCGAUCCACCACCUUAACUUGAAAAUAUUCGUUCUCGCAAUUCUUGACUGAAAGGGUAAUAUAGUACAUGAAGUGUUUGAUGCUAUGUCCAUUAACCUUGAGAAUCUCAUUAACCACAUAUGAAGUGCCCUAAAAGAAUACUCAAUCAGCUUUCUAUAGAAGAAAACUAGAAAGACAAUGUGACAAGAGCAUACCAUUUUUUCAUUGUAGUGCUGAAUUGCCCGUCUAGCAAAAUCCUUCAUCUUUUCCAUAAAUUCAGGAUGUUGUAAGUAGCCUUGCAUGGGAAAUAUGGAAGUCAUUGGAGCCGAACCAGGAUAAUCUUUGAUGUCAAAUCCCUAUUAGAGACAAACAUAAGUCGCUAUUAAGAGUCGAUAAUCAGCUCAAUCUUAAUAAUAAUCACAGGAACAGAACAGGAAAUUUCGAAAUCCAAUCUUCAGGACUCUCCGAAUUCAAAUCAUAUGAUGCUAGACAUCGACACAACAAAAAUUAAAAUACUAGAGUUGCCUAUUUAUCAGAAACUCUUUGCAAUCUUAAGAGGGCUAUCUAUUGCUGUUUUUGCGAUAACACUAAUUUUAUGUAUUCUAGUAUAUCCGAUGGUAAUUAUCAUAAUUGGACUAACCCUAAACAAUAAUAGUAUAGUAGAGAAGAGGGAGAAAUCGGUACCUCACUGUCAUGGAUUUGUUCAAAAUACCUUAUCAAGCAAGCUUUAUCAAUGACUCUAUCACCACGAGAGUAAGGGCGAUACCAUAGUUUCUCCACAUCCCGUUCCGGCGUGUCACAUUCUGAAGAAUUAUCUUCGGACUCGCUGGAUUCAGCAUCUUCUUCAUUCACCUUUUGUUUCAGCGAAUCCAAUUCCUCGUCAUCCGAUUCUUCGUCCGAGUAAACAAAUUUGUUGCUUACCAAAGGCUCCGGCAAUGGCGGCAUGACUACGGAUUAAUAGUUUAUGCACCGUCAAAGAAGCUCUGUUGUAUCGAUUGAGAGUUGAGAGAAUCAAUUUAAACCAAACAACCCUAAAUUAUAUAUUUAUUUGGGCUAAUACUUUUUAAAAUAAAUAAUUAUUGGUUUUAACAAUCAAUACACUAUACAAAACAUAUGAUACACUAUAGCACAAGUUUGUUUUUUUUAAAAAUAAAUUAUUGCUAUGUUUUAGUUAAACUAUCACUAUAAUUGAUAAUUAGAGCUUAAAAUAUCUACUUUUUUUUUUUAAAAAAAACGUGUUGUCUUUGUAAGAAGGUACCUUUUAAAGUAGAAUUAUUUGUAAAUAGAACUACACAUAUUUAUAUCUAAAUUGUAUUAUAAGUGUUCAGUAGAAAAAAAUGUCAUUGCUAUAAAUAAUAAAUAUUUUCUUAAUAUAGCAUAUCUAUGUAAGUUGCAAUAAUACACUAUAUUGCGAGUUUUUUUAAAGUAAAUUAUUGCUAGAGGUGUUCAUGGUUCGGUCUGGAUCAGUUAUUAGUUAAAACCAAAACCAAACCAAUUUAAAUCGAUUUUUAAAUUUCUAAAACCAAACCAAACCAAAUAAAAAAAAUAACCGUCGGUUUGGUUAUAGUCGGUUUGGUAUGUUUUUUUCGGUUCGAAAGUAAUAAGUUUGUUAAGAAUAUACGCAUCUCGAUAGACAUAAACACUUAGUACAUGAAUAAUUCAUAAAUAAGCUAUUACAUGAACAAAGUGAUUCAUCCAAUGUACCAAGUUUCAGAAACUAAAAAAACUCAUUGUCAAAUAGCAUAAAGUUGGUUCAAUAUUCUGGAGAUCUAACAUCUUGUUAAUAGACUUUUCAAUAAAAUUACACCUUAAAAUAUUGAGAAAUUACUCUCAAAAGAAAAAAAAAACCAAUAUUUCAUAGUCAAAACUAAUCAAUUACCAUCUUCUUUAGCUUGAGCUUUAAAUUAUUCAAUGUUGCGUUAGAAAAUUUUAUAAAAUACAGAGAAAGUGUGAUCGUUAUCGUAAUGAAUAUUGUGGGAUUUAGACUUAAGGUUUCAAUAGUUAGGCUAAAAUUUAAGUGUUGGGCUUUAGAAAAUAGUAAAAUUAAAGACUUAAGUUAAUUAAAAUUUAUUAAAAUACUCAUAUUUUAUUUAUAAAUAAUUAUAAAAUUUAUAUAUAUAACUUCGCGGUUCGGUUUGGUUAUUUUUGCAGUUAAUUUUUAGUAAAACCAAAACCAAACCAAAUAAUAUCGGUUUUUCAAAAUUUAAAACCAAACCAAACCAAACCAAACCAAAUAUCGAUUUUUAAUCAGUUUGGUUCGGUUUGCGAUUUGGUUUGAUUUUAUAGCCAUAACCAUGAACAACCCUAAUUAUUGCUAUGACUCACUAUGAUUGAUAAUUAGAGUUUAAAGUACCUUUUUCUUUUAAAUAUGUGUUGUCUUUGGGAGAUGGUAACCUUUAAAGUAGAAUUGUUUGUAAAUAAAACUACACAUAAUUAUUUCUAGCAUAUUUUCAAUCAGUUUAUUAAUCAAGUCAAUUAAUUUUUUGAUCCACAAAAAAUAUGAAAAGUUGAACUUUGACUCAUUUUCCUUGACUCUUGUUUUCAUCACAUCUAAAUUCAACCUAAUUUAUCUAUUUACGAUCACUAGUUGCACAUGCAAGCUAGAGUCAAAAUUGACAAUUUUUUCUUGCUUAAUUAUUCGAUAUCCAUAAUGAGCAUUACAUAGUUGAUUACUUGAUUUUAAUAUUUUCUUUUAAAUUGAAGCGUAAUUGUUAUUUAAUAAUAUGGUAUAUGAUUCUUAGUCAAAGGAGGAAUGUAUUAUGUUGAUAAUUAUAUUGGUGAACGAUAUAAAAUACACAAUAAAAUAAUCAAUAUGGACGUGAACCUAUUGUAACAUUACCAUUUAAUAUACUUUACUUCUUUGAUGCAAGUACCAAAAACUAUUUUUUGUUUAAAAUAAAAGUUAACAAACAAUUAAUGAUUUGACCCCAUAAGCGGGACCAAACAUGUUGCCGCCAGCAGCAGAACCAAACAUGUUGCCGCCAACAGCAGAACCCCUAUUUCUUCUAUAGAAUCUUUUAAUUGUUGUUCAUCUAUAUUCUUAAGAUACUUAGAACAAAACUUUGAAGAACUUGGUAAGAAACAACAAAGUUUAAAGAGUAUUUUCAAACUAGAAAAUUAAAACUAGCAGAGAAAAUAGAAUCAUUAGAAAUAAUAUAAAAAUAUUUUUUCCAAAGAAAGAAAAUCGAGCCCACUGAAUGCACAGUGUCCCCUUAAGGAAAUUAUUCCCCUCAAGUACCCGAGGUUAAUGGAAUAUAUCCUCCCAGAAUAGAACGAUCUUACUCACCGGUGUAUCGGUACCUAAAAUCACGGUGUCAGCGAACCACUCAAUGACAGUAAAAUACACUUAUAAUACUAGAUUUAGUAGUAGUAGAAGAAGUCCAGAUAAAUUCGUUCAACUAAAAUGAGAGGAAAUCCCUCAAUUUAUAGAAAACAAAGAGUAGUGUGAAAAUGUUCUUAUUGUGCCUUACCGGAAAUGUCACAAACCUUUGGAAAAGUCAUAAUCUUUCGAAAAGGUCACAACCUUUCAUAAAAGUCACAACUUUUCAUAAAAGUCACAACUCUUCAUAAAAGUCGCAACUUUUCAUAAAAGUCACAACUCUUCACAAAAGUCGCAACUCUUCAUUUUUCAUUCACACAUUUUAAAACCCAACAAUUCCCCGCAUGAAUGGGGAAUGACUCCAAGACAAAGAAACGGACAAGUAAGUAUACUUUAUAAGUAAGAAUUAAUUGCAUCUGGAUAAAUAAGUUUCCCCUUGGACUUUCCGUAGUGAACAUAUGUCGGAUAUACUCGGUCAAUCGGUAGAUGCGAUAUCUUUGAACCGUUGAGCUUUGGUGUAUAGACAACCAUAUGUCACACAAUUAACCCUUUACCGUUUAUGGUUCUUACAGUUGUGUUCGUUUCAGUCAUGAACACCUCCUAGUUUAAUGAGUGUAUAGAGAAUAGGCUUUUGACAAUAAUUCACUUUGAAACAGCUUACACUUCACCCUCACAUAGGUGAUUUCUAACCGUGUCAUCACAUAGAUACAUUAUUUGGUCGAGUCUGCCAAACUUAGCAAAUCAUUAAAAACUUUAAGCUUUAUUAACUCAUUAACAAUCCUUAAUGUUUUAACCUCGUUCCCGAACAUUGUCUUCAUCAUGAGAAUGGAUUGAGUUGAUUGACAAUGUUGAACCGUCAGCCACAACUUUGUUUUUCUCCUUGAAUCUAGCUCUUGGGAUCUCCAGUCUGCUAGAUAGAGUUACCGCCAUGAUGACUUGUCCUAAGCCGCAAACCCAUUCCCUUAGAUGAUCUUCCAACUUUCACUCUAGUUAGGCCUUUUUGUAAGUGGAUCCGACACAUUAUCCUUUGACUUUACAUAGUCAAUUGUGAUAAUUCCACUAGAUAGUAGUUAUUUUCUAACGGUAUUAUGUCUAUCUCUUAUAUGAUAAGACUUUCCGUUAUACAUCAUGCUCCAUGCCCUACCUAUUGCAUCUUGACUAUCAAAGUGUAUGCAUACUGAUGCCAAAGGUUUGGACCAAAAAAGAAUAUCUAUCAAGAAAUUCCGGAGUCUUUCAACUUAUUCACAGGCCUAAUCUAGAGCACCUAGCUCAGAGAUCAUAGUAGAGCUAGCAAUACAUGUAUUUUGGAAGAUUUCCAAGAGACUGCUCCUCCACCAAGAGUAAAUACAUAUCCACUUGUGGAUUUUACUUCAUUUCUCGGUGAUCCAAUUUGCAUCACUAUAUCCUUUCAAUACUGCUGGAUAUUGUUAUAAUGCAAGACAUAAUUUUGAGUAUGUUUUAAAUACCCCAAAACUCUUUUCAUUGCCAUACAAUGAGUUUGAUUGGGAUUACUCGUGAACCAACUCAGUUUACUAAUAGCACAUACUAUAUUUGAUCACGUACACUUCUUGAUAUACAUCAUACUUCUCAAUACUCUAUCACAAUCCAAUUGUGAGUCACUUCCGCCUUCACUCAUUUGAAAUGCAAAGCUCACAUUUAUUGGAGUCUUGACAAUAUUGAAAUUCAAAUAUUUAAACUAGUCAAGUACCUUUUCGAUGCAAUGACACCGUGACAAUGCUAAACAUUAUGGAGUUCUAAGGAUUCUUAUACCUAAGAUCGCAUUAGCAACUCCAAGAUCUUUCAUAUCAAACUUGCUUUCUAGAAUACGUUUAGUAGCAUUUAUGUCAUUUGUGUCUCUACUGAUGAUCAACAUGUCACUUAAUAUACAAACAAACAAUGAUCGUGUGAUUUUAAUGUAAACACAUUUAUCACUCCAUCAUUCUUAAAUUCAUUUGCCAACAUGGUUUGGUCAAAUUUCUUUUGUCAUUGUUUGGGUGCUUGUUUUAGUCUAUAAAGUGACUUAACAAGUAAGCACACUUUUUUUCUUUACCAAGAACCCCAAAACCCUCGGGUUGUUCCAUGUAAAUUUCUUCCUCCGAUUCUCCAUUUAAGAAAGUUUUUUUCACAUUCAUUUGAUGAAUUUGGAGGUCAUAUACCACAACUAAUAAUAUUAACAUCCGAAUGGAUGUAAUUCUAGUUACUGACAAGUAUAUAUCGACAAGAUCAAGACCUUGUUUUUGUCUAAAACCUUUGACAAAAAGUCUUGCUUUAUAUUUGUCAACAGUUCCAUGGACUUUCAUUUUCCUUCUGAAAAUUCACUUUGAACCCAAAAGUUUAUUUUAUGGAAGAAGAUCAAUUAACUUCAAUGGUUACUCAAGAUUGCAUCAAUCUCACUAUUGACACCAUCUUUCCACAAGGAUGAGUCUACAGAAGACGCAAGAAAUAUUACAAAAUCAUAUUCGAAGGAAGUAGAUGUCCUUUGACAUGUACUACGCCUCUGAAUCUCUUUAUUAAGUACGUUCUCUUUUUUUCUUUCCAAGGUCUUUUAGACCCUACACUAGACUACUCAAGUCUAAUUUUACAGUCCACAAUCAUAGGUCCUAUUUUAAUCUUUUUAGGAAUAGGAACUUGGACUUUGGCUAGAUACCCCCACACUUUGAAGUAUUUCAAGUUGGAUUUUCUUCCUUUCCAUUUUUCAUAUGGAAUAGAUUGUGUCCUGAACAAACAAAGUUGCUUUCUUUCUGAAAAGACAAAACUUUUUGUUGUUCCCUUUUGCAGUAAGGAUAGUUCCUCCACACAAGUCUUGUGGUAAACCUGAACUUAUAAGUAAUGCAACCAUUAUUUUCUUCAAAGUUUGGUUAUUUUUUUUUCAUUCUGCAAUUCUAUUAGAUUUAGGUGAAUAGGACAAUAGUUUGAUGGAUAAAUCCAUUUUCCAAACAUAUUUCUGCAAAAGGAGAUUUAUAUUCUCCAUCCCUAUCACUUCUUAUCUUUUUUCCCAACUGAUUUUCAACUUCAAUAUUAUAUUGUCUAGACAUUUCUAUUGCUUCAUCCUUACCAUUCAGCAAAUAGACAUAGUCGUUUCUAAUGCAAUUGUCAAUGAAAGUUAUGAGAUACUUUUUCCCACCACGAGAUGGUGUUGACUUUAUAUCACAAAUGUCAGUGUAAAUCAACUCUAAGGGAUUAAAAUUCCUUUCAAGAGAUUUACAAGAAUGCUCAGCAUACUUAGAUUCCACACAAACUUGACAUUUUUAUUUAUUGCACUCAAAGUUAGACAAAACUUCUAAGUUGAUCAGUUUUCCUUGCAAAGUUUUGUAAUUGGCAUGUCCCAAGCGUUCAUGUCACAAACAGUUUGACUCAAGCAAGUAAGAACAAAUAAAAAUAAUUGAGUUUGAAAAAGCUCUCCGCGGGGUAGCUUUUUCUCACAAAUAUUGUUCCUAUUCUUACAAUUUUGUGUGAUACAAAUAUUGUUUAGAGUCAUCACCUUGUCAAAUGUCCUUUUCAGAAGGACCUUUCCAUAACUUUCAAGUUGAUUGUUAUAGAACUAUCCAUGAACAAAGUUUCAUCGGGUCCAAUAAAGGCAAUAUAGUCCAAAUGUUUCUUUUACAAAACAUGACAAAUGACCAAUCACCAAUAUUCAUGUCUAUACAAAUAUUUAUAUUUAAUAGACAUUUUUUCAUGAAAAAUCACAACAUUUUAAGUGAUACUCUUUCAUAAAAUAACACAAUUAUUUUGAACAAGUAUAUAUAUAGUUUGGUAGUUUCAUACUAGUCAUACGAUAUACUAGUAAAAGAGAAACUCAGCAACAACAAUAUCAAAUAUACUCCAAGAAUUUUGUGGGUCUAACAUAAUCCAAAAGUAUCAUUAAAUUCAUAUCUUGUCCUCCAAAAGUUAAAUUUAGACACUAAGUCUAAUUUUAUCUUUAUCAUAAGCAAAGAACCCCCACAUUUUUAAAUAUGAUCUCAAAAAUAUUUUUCAAGUAUUUGAAAAUAGUUUUUCCACAUAUUUUUUUUCUGAUCAUACUAUCAAAAUGUCAUUGGCAGCAUGAAACCUCUUUUGGAAAUAUUAUUCUACGAAAGAAUUAUAGUACUUCAAUUCUCUUUGACAAUCUUUACAUAGUGUCAAAGUUCAUUUCCAUAGAGGCACCUAUUUCAGGCACAAAAUCACACACUUUAAGUCAUUGAUCUUUUUUUUUCUAUCACAGUUAAACAUACCACAUAGCAUUUAGAAUACUAACAAUAAAGAUAAUUUUUUUUGUACAAUUUGUUUCUAUUUUAACAAUGAAGUUUGUAGAAAAUCAAAAGUACAACACUGACUAAUUAGGUGAAGUUUUUCAUAUUCUUCAAACCAAUUGCAUAGUCCAAUUUAUCUAGAGUAGAAAACUACAAAAGUUUUUAGUCUACAACAAUCAGACAAUCAAAUUUCACACGGAGUACAAAACUACAAAAGUGUUUUUCCUCCAAACAGAAUAAAACAUAUUCUUAGUUUAUCACAUAGAAAUGUUUUUAUUUUCAAAUAGCCUUCCAACUAUAACAUUUUGACAUACUAUUUUAUCAAUAAAAAUGUGCAUCUCUCAUUCUUCAAGUUGGUGAAUUUUAAAGGCAACACUAUUUGCCAAGGAAAAUUCAUGAGAAAAUGGCCAGAAGCCCCUCAACCUAUAGCCGGAUUCUCAACUACACACUCAUACUUCACGGGGGUCCUAUUACCCCCCUGAACUUUUUUUUUACAUAUUAUAUCACCCUUAUUUGCUGACAUUUCCACAUAAACCAGAUAUAAUAAAAUAUUUGUUUACACGCGCUGCCAAGUAUUGACUGGACCCCAGAACUCUAAAAUUUCCCUUAAUCUUUUUAUUUUCCUCUUUCUUUCUCUAAACCCGUACCUUUUUUCAAUCACUCCAAAUUCAUCCUAUUCUCUUCAUGAUUUGAGAUUUCGUCCAAUUGAAGUUUGUUGGGGAAGAAAGCUUAUUCAAGUCCGCAUUUGCCAUUAUUUACCCUAACAAAGCAAAAAAUGAUGAAUUUGAAGAAUUUUUUUUGAACCCUAACUAUGAAAUCGGAGAAAUUACAAGCCCUAAAGCUUCAAGCGUUUUUUGAAAUUGAAACUACAUAUGGAUGCUUUUGCAAGUAAAUUCAAGUUUUAAGCUGAUUUGGGAGAGAAUGAAGGAAUAUACAGUAUAAAAUUGAGAAAAAAAGGAAGAAAAAAAGAGUUUGAUUUUGGGAGAGAAUGAUAUGUUACCGUUGAAGAUUUAUUAUAGUUGAUUUGGACUCACAUGUGUACGUUUCUUCAACUUUUGACGUUUUAUUUUCUCUUCUUACACGCCUAAGGGAGUUUUUCUCACCUUCUUUGACAUGUCAGCAAAUAAGGGUGAGAUAAUAUGUAAAAAAAAAUGUUCAGGGGGUAAUAGGACCCCCAUGAAGUAUGAGUGUGUAGUUGAAAAUCUGGCUAUAGGUUGGGGGGGAUUUUGGCCAUUUUCUUGAAAAUUCAUUUAAAAAACAUAUGGUUUGCAAUUUUUUUUUUCCAAAGACACACAUGAUAAAUAUCAAAACUGUUAACUCUUAGAAACUAUUUUCCUCACUACUUUAAGCUUCUAUGUUACUAUAGUAUAUGCUAAGUGUGAUAGGAAUUCGAGGUUGAAUAUGUGGGAAGAGCUAUAUUCUAUUGUUGAUGGGAUGAAUAGACCUUGGCUGAUAGGUGGGGAUUUCAAUAUGGUUCUCAAUGGAGCGGAGAAGAUUGGUGGAGUACCAGUAGUUGCUGCAGAUGUUAAUGACUUCAAGACAUGUAUUGAAUCUUGCGAUCUUUUACAAGUACCAUUUAAAGAAAGUCCAUUUACUUGGUGGAAUGGUCGAGCAGGGGAUGAUUGUAUUUUUGAAAGACUUGAUAGAAUACUUGUAAAUGUAGAGAUGCAAAAUAUUUUUUUCGAUUAGAGAUUGAUCACUUGCCCAGAACAGUAUCAGACCAUGCUCCAAUGUUAUUGACUUGCGCAGAUGGAGGUGUCAAUAAGAAGAAACCUUUCAGUUUCUUGAAUUUCUGGACUGAACAUGAAUCCUUUAAAGAAGUGGUUAGAUUGAACUGGGAUUCUCAUAGUUCAUUUAACCAUUUUUUAGACUUCAAAAGAAAGGCCAAGAAAAUUAAAAAAACACUAUCUAUGUGGAGUUGAGAGACUUAUGGAGAUAUUUUUAGCAACUUAUCAUUAGAGAGGAGAUCGCUACAAUUAAAGAAAAAUUGUUCGAUGAAGACCCGUCUAGUGAAAAUAGGAUUGUCAUGCAAAGAGCAAAAGAUGAAUAUAAUAGAUAUCUACAUUUAGAAGAGCUUUUUUGGCAACAAAAAGCUGGAUAUGAUUGGUUUGAAAAGGGAGAUAGGAAUACCAGAUUCUUCCACAGUCUAGUGAAAGGAAGAAGACAGAAGAGCAGAGUAAAUAGAAUUCAGAAUUCACAUGGUGAUUGGUUAGAGGAAGAAGGGGCUAUUGCUAAUGAAACAGUAGAGUAUUUCCAUAAACAGUUUCAACAUGAAGGUGAUGCUACUAGUUUUCUGUUAUUGUCUCACAUCUCUGAAGCAGUUUCUGAGGAAGAGAAUGCAACUUUGUGUGCUGUCCCAGUUUUAGAAGAUGUGAAAAAAGCAGUCUUUAAGCUAAGCGUAGACAGUGCCAGCGGCCCUGAUGGAUUAAUAUGUAGAUUUUUUCAGGAGUGUUGGGAUAUAGUUUGUGGAGACAUUCUAAGAAUGGUACAAGAUAUUUUUGCUGGUAAUACCCUUCCAAAAUCCAUUACACAUACUAAUUUGGUUCUCAUACCAAAGAAGGAUCAUGUACAUACCUUCUCUGAUAUGAGUGCUAUUAGUUUGAGUAACUUUGUUAACAAGAUUUUGUCUAGGAUUAUUCAUGAUAGGUUGGAAGAUAUGUUACCUAAAUUGAUUUCUUCUAACCAGGCGAGCUUUAUUAAAGGAAGAAGUAUUAUUGAAAAUGUACUAUUAGCUCAAGAUUUGGUAACUGACAUUACUAAAAGAGGAAAGCCUGCUAAUGUUGUCAUUAAGUUGGACAUGGCUAAAGCAUAUGAUAGAUUGUUUUGGUUUUUUCUGAUGAAGGUCUUGAGGAAGAUGGGUUUUGACUCAAGAUUUGUAGAUAUGAUAUGGAAACUUCUUGCUAACAAUUACUACUCAGUCCUUAUUAAUGGUCAAUCAUAUGGCUUCUUUCAUUCUUCAAGGGGUGUGAAGCAAGGAGACCCUCUCUCUUUGGCCCUAUAUAUUAUAUCUGCUGAGGUUCUGUCUAGAGCUCUUAAUUCUUUAUUUGAUGAUCCUCUGUAUGUGGGUUAUGGUUUGCCUAAAUGGAGUACAAAUUUAAAUCAUUUAGCUUAUGCAGAUGAAACCAUUAUAUUUGCAUCAUCUAAUGAGUACUCUUUAGAAAAAAGGCUUAAGUCAUACGUAGCCCCUUAAAGUUGUCCGCAUAAUUCACUUAGACACCUUAUUUAACACUUGUUCCUAUUGAGCACUUCUAUUAUUCAAAACAAGUACCUAUUGAACACUUUUUGCUGACAUGGCAAGGAAGGUGCAAAUCACCUACAUUUAGCGCGUCAGAAGGGUACUUUUAAUUCUAUUUUUUUUUCUCUCUCUUUCUUCUUCCUUCUUCAUUAGCCAUAACUUCUUCAACACCACCACCUUUUCCAUAGCUGCCGCCGAUGUUGCCACCCCCAUCGCCAAUCUUAUUCAUCGGAAAAGUUCCUUUCUUUGUUUUCUUCUUUAAAAGUUUAUAUUUGUACUCAAAUAAAUCAGAUCUAAAAAAAAGAAAAGAAAUCACCUCUCCUUCUACCUUUCUCCAUGCUUUGCUUAGAUGAUUAUGUAGUCAAUGAUUUCAUUGGUAUCUAAAAAAUUAUAGGUGGUUCAUGUAUUGAUUAAUUUUUAUAUAUAUGUAAUUUGCUAUUUUCAACUUUUAGAAAAAUUAGAUCUGAAAAAUAAAAUCGUUGAAUUAAAAGGGUUGGAAGGUGACGACGACAAUGGUGGCCGGACGGAAUGGCAUUUUGAAAUCAAGAAUUUCCAUCGAUAAGUUAAGUCAUUUGAAUUGUGAAUCUUUCUCUACUGGUCAUCAAUAAGUUAAAUCAUUUGAUUGCUCAGAGAUAAGUUGAUGUCUCCACUCCAUAGACAUGAGAUGAAUAAGUUGUUCAUCAUUAGUUUUGUAGUUGCUUCCACUGCAACUUCCUUUUUCCUUUAUUUAUUUAUUUUUUUCCUCAAAAGGCCACAUGUACGUCACUGAUUUGUCAAUUUGCCAGUUCAGCGCAAGUGUAUUACACACAUUUAUAUUUUUUAGCUGAUUGUCAAAAAAGUGUUCAAAAGGUUCAAAUCCGAAUAAGUAGAGGUGUUCAAUAGGUACUAGUCCUAGUUAAAGUGUCUAAUUGAAUUAUGCGGAUAACUUUAAGGGGCUACGUAUGACUUAAGCCUAGAAAAGAUAAUGAAUAUCUUACAGGAAUAUGAGCAUCAAUCUGGCCAAAAGGUGAACAAAGACAAGAGUUUCUUUUAUUUGCAUCAAAAUGUAGCAUCGGAAUUUCAAACAUUGGUGUAGCAGUGUGUUGGGAUGAACAAGGGUUCCUUUCCUAUGAAGUAUUUGGGUGUCCUAUCACCCACACAAGAAAGAGAAAGGAACACUAUGCAGGGCUGAUUGAGAGAGUUAAAGGUAAACUACAAGCUUGGAAAGGAAGGAUGUUAUCCUUUGGUGGUAAAGAGGUUCUACUAUCUAGUGUUUUACAAAGCACUCCUAUAAAUGUAUUAUUAGCUAUCACUUCCCCUAAAUGUGUGAUUAAGGAGCUACAUAGGAUCUUUGCUAAUUUUUUUUGGAGUAAUAAAGAAUUUGGCAAGAGUAAACAUUGGGCUGAAUGGAUCAAAGUUUGUCUACCAAAGCCGGAUGGGGGGAUUGGUUUCAGAUCAUUAUUUGAAGUUUCUCAGGCCUUAUAUGCUAAAUUGUGGUGAAAAUUUAGGACACAAAAUAAUUUGUGAUCCAACUUCUUCUGGAACGAAUAUUGCAAGAAACAAAUUCCAUCUCUUGUGCAAUGGAAAUGAAGCUCACAAAUCUGGAAACAUAUGCUUGAAAAUAGAGAUAUUAUAGAACAAAAAUUGUGGUGGGAACCUAAGGGUGGAAAUUCUUCCAUUUGGUAUGAUAAUUGGUCCAGUCUUGGGCCUUUGCAUCUACAACAGGUAGACACUCCAACAUGUCACCCCAUGAGAGAUAUCAGGGAACUAUUUAAUGAGGAGGGUUGUGAUUUUGAUGCUCUUCGGAAUGCUGUCCUGAAUACGUAGUGGAUCAUAUCAGACAUAAUAUGAGGUAUGUGCAGGUAGGAGAGGUAGCAGACAAACCUUGGUGGACCAAAUCUAGUACCAGAGAUUUUAGUGUUAAGAGUGUCUGGGAAGUGUUAAGGAAAAGGGAGAAUGCUAAUGAAGAUUUGAAAUCGUUAUGGGUGAAAGGUUUACCUUUCAAGUUCUCGUUUUUAGCUUGGAGGAUUUGGCAAGGUAAAGUUCUUGUAGCUAACUUAAUGCAUUCUUGGAAUCCUAAUAUCUCUUAGACUUGUAGACGUUGUACCAUUCCUGAAAAUGAGACUAUUAAUCAUUUGUUCUUGAGAGGAGAAAUUGCAACCAAAAUAUGGUCUUAUUAUUCUAGAGCUGUCGGAAUAAUUGGGCCCAUGUUGAAUAUGAAACAAAUGGUGAGAAGAUGGUGGUCUACUGAUGGUAACUAUAGGAUAAAAAUAGUCUUUUAGGCUAUUCCUAUAGUUAUAAUGUGGUUUUUGUGGAAAGGAGAAAUACUAUACUUCAUGGUGGAACUUAUUUUGUUGGAAAGGUUAUCUGGGAGAUUAAAUACACUAUGCUGAAUUUCAUUAAGUUCAGAUGUAAGAGUAACUUUGCUUUGAAUAAUUGGCCUCUAAUUGUGCAGUAUCUGGAAGGAUGUAAAGUAGUUUAUAGCUUCAAAAUAGUGAAAUGGGUUCCUCCUCCCAUAAAUUGGCUUAAAUGUAAUACUGAUGGUGCUUCUAAGGGCAACCCUAGGCCUAGUUCAGCUGCUUUUUGUAUUAGAGAUCAUGAAGGAAAUCUAAUUGUAGCUAAAGGAAUCAGAAUUCGGGAGACCACCAAUUUGAUUGCAGAAGCCAUAACCAUAAGAGAAUGUUUGGUGUUUUGUAGAGACAAUAUGUUAUCUCAGAUUAUUAUUGAGACCGAUUCCCUGGCAAUGGUACACAUUCAGAAUUUGAGGGGAACUGUGUCAGCAAAAUUACAACAUUCUCUCAGGGAAGGAAAUACUCUUGCUGAUUAUUUUGCUAAAUUAGUUUUUUCUUUUGCAGAUAAUUAUCAACUUAAUUCUACACAAGAAGUUUCCAAUGAAGGCAAGCAGAUUAUAUACAUGCGGAUAAAAGUGGUACUCCUAUUAUCAAAAGAUUUUUAGCAGAAUCACGUUAACUUUUGAUAUACUAUUUGCUGCCGACUAAAUUUUUUGAAAGAUAUAGAAAAAUUUAAAGUACAGUAUUUAGUGACUACAAUAAUGUCUGAAGAAAUUUCGUUAUGGCUUAUGUGUUUUACACCUAGUGAGAGCGUUGAGGUGCCCAAGGAAUACCUAACCAAGACAUUAUUACUGAUACUGGGUGCUUGUUUUAAUUUCUAUUUCUUUCGAAUAAGCAAAGAGAUUACAUGGUAUCAUAAUUUUCAAGGUUUUUUCAAGGUUGUCCUCUAAAAUUGUGAUUUAUUUUUUAGACUAAAAUUUAGAUGGUGGUAUUAAUUUCUUUUUGAGAUUCAACCCAUCAAAUUUUAGUUUAGGAGAUUUAUUCAUAAUUUUGCUGUUGAUUGUAGUUGAUUUGAUCUAUCAAGGCAAAGAGAGGAACUAAUAGAUCUAAUGGAAUUUGAUAAGUUCUUACCUGAUGCAAGAUUCCCAAUGCCAUAUGCUUAGCUAACAAUCAUUGAUCUUGGAACUCUUCCCCUAGAAGAGUUAUUUCACUAUCAGUUGGAAAUGAUGAUGGAAGUUCCCUCGCAAGUCGCUAGAGGUGCGCUCUGUGAGGGUUUGACGAUGGCAACAACUAAGAUGGUGCUCUCUGGGAAUCUGGAAACCGACGGCUAUCUCUCUCAUUCUAUAACUCCGUGGAACUCCAUGGCAGCUGGUUCCAAAAGAGUCAUUGCAGAUGAUUUAGAGUGUGACCUUUCCACUUCUUUGUUUAUUUGAUCUUUUGUUUCUUAUCACUAUAUUUGUUUUCUUGGCCAGAUUAUGGGCCAGAUCUUUGUACAAACAUUGAUUUUAGUUUCUAAUAAAAAGGAUCUAUGACCCGACUUCAAAUUAAAAAAAAGAAGAAUGUUGCCUAGUGUAAUUUUUAACCGGAAUACCACCAAUUUUUCUGGUACAUUCUCACUUCAACCUUGCUAAACAAGACACCGAAUUCUGGAGAAGUAGUGCAUUAAUCUUCUACUCCCAUGAUCUGUGUAACGACCCGGAAAAUGAUAGAGUGAAACUAGAGCCUCACAUGUGAGUUUGGAGUCGAGAACUUAAUGAAAUGUUUAUAUUUGAAUUUGACCCAAAAAGUUCUUAAAAAUGUGCUUCGGAAGUUACCGGAAACUUGUUUAGCUGUAUAUAAAAAGAUCCGUUUCGUUUUUCGAAAAUCCGACUUCAUAUUCUUGUUUAGGGGGUCAAAUUGAGUGGGAAAUGGGUCUAACCCAAAUUUUAGAGCAACCGUAUCAAAAUCCGAAAUUUCCAAGUGAAGCCUUUUUCGAGGGUCUACUUUGGAGGGUCAUAUCUCCUAGCACACAAAUUAUUUGGGUGGCCACUAAUAUAUCCAUGUAAAGCCCUUUGAGUUAGCUACCUAACGCACUUCGUUUCAUCUCAUUCGGAGUUCGGACGAAGAAGUUAUGCCCAUUUUCGUAAAAUCUGUUCGGCAGGAAAAGGCAAUUUCCAGUAGGCGUGGUUACUGUUCACCCGCCUCAUUUUAUUUUCUAAGUGUUGGACCAUUCUUCCAAAGGACAUAUAUUAUUUCCUAGAUACCAUUAGUUCAAUUCCCACCCCUGUUGUGCCGUAAUUUUGCUAUUAUCUAGAAAAAUCACUUUUUUUGAAAUAUUCUAAGUAUAAAACAAUUUGAGAAAAAUACUUAGAGAAGAGUCGCCACUUAAUUUUUUAAAGAAAUUAAGAAAACUUAUAAUUUUCAAAGAUUUAAACAGAAAAAAUCAUUUGAAAAUACCAAAGAGGGUUCGGGGUUCAAUUUACACUUCGAGAAGGGUUUAAGCAUUCGAAGUGCCCGCUAACAUGCGGUUGACCUGCGACUUGACUAAAAUACAUUUGACUAUUUUUAGGAAAAUAAUAAUUUAACAUAAAAAUGAUAACUUACAAUAUUUGAUUAACUUUGAGAAAAUAAUUAAAUAAAUGACGCAUUUUUUAUCUUUAUAGAAAGGGAUCCAAAAUGAAACACUUGACUUGAAAUACAAGUGAUUAGAAUAUUAAUAGAAUUAGAUUAAUUAGAAUUUAUUUAAUUCAUUUUAAANNNNNNNNNNNNNNNNNNNNNNNNNNNNNNNNNNNNNNNNNNNNNNNNNNNNNNNNNNNNNNNNNNNNNNNNNNNNNNNNNNNNNNNNNNNNNNNNNNNNNNNNNNNNNNNNNNNNNNNNNNNNNNNNNNNNNNNNNNNNNNNNNNNNNNNNNNNNNNNNNNNNNNNNNNNNNNNNNNNNNNNNNNNNNNNNNNNNNNNNNNNNNNNNNNNNNNNNNNNNNNNNNNNNNNNNNNNNNNNNNNNNNNNNNNNNNNNNNNNNNNNNNNNNNNNNNNNNNNNNNNNNNNNNNNNNNNNNNNNNNNNNNNNNNNNNNNNNNNNNNNNNNNNNNNNNNNNNNNNNNNNNNNNNNNNNNNNNNNNNNNNNNNNNNNNNNNNNNNNNNNNNNNNNNNNNNNNNNNNNNNNNNNNNNNNNNNNNNNNNNNNNNNNNNNNNNNNNNNNNNNNNNNNNNNNNNNNNNNNNNNNNNNNNNNNNNNNNNNNNNNNNNNGUAUUUCUCACUUCCGAACACCUGUAUGUCACCUUAGCCCUGUAUUACUGCGUUUUAAACCUGUAUCUCACUGUUUUUGUCGUGUAUAUUGACGUAUACCACUGUAUACAAGCUGUAUUUCGGCUUAUUUUCAGCUUUCUGAGACUUGUUUUCAGUUUCCAACCCCUGUACAGCCCUGUUCGGAUGACCCGGCUAACUUAAAGAAAAGAGAAAUCGGGCCCCUAUGGCCCAAUCAUCGAAAUGCAACGGGAGGGUAGAAGCCUAUGAGGGCUCGAACAUAUUUCACAUGCAAUAAGGUAAAGGAAAGGAGUUAAUAUAUAAUCCAAUUAACAAAAAUGCAAGAAGAACACACUACUUUAAUGCAAAAUGCAUAUUUUGACUCAAGAAAGAUAUAUACUAACAAACAAUCCUACCAAAGGGAAUCACAGAGAGGCAUACUGGACAUCAACAAAUUUGAAGAAUAAAAAAUAAAAUAAAAUAAGCAUAAUAGGAGAACACAAUAGCCACUUAAGCUUAAUGAAUUAAUGUGUCUACUAUACAUGCUUACAGAUGCCAAGAUAGAGAGAAAAGGACACAAAAAGGACAAAGUUACUCAUUAUCAUGCAUAUUAAAAGAUAUAGCAAUAAUACAUAUACUACACUAAUCAAUAUCUUAAAUUAAAGGACACAUGAAAAGCUAUUCUUGUCUUGAAUGAUAUGGAAGUGAUUACUCAUGAGCGAUAAUAAAUUAAAGAGGAUAAAAAAAACAACAAAAAGUAGUCAUACGUUACUACUAAUGCUCAUUUUUGAGACAAGUGGGGAAGUAAAGGAAAAUAUGUUCAUGCACUAUGUCCUUUAUAGAAUAUUAGACCAACAAUCCAAAUUAAAAAAAAAAACUUUAACACUUAUUCCAAUAUAGCCUUCAAGAAGAAAAGACUACAAGAGAUUGACAAAGAAAACUAAAAAAAAAAAAAAAAAAAAAAAAAAAAAAAAAAAAAAUCAUCACGCGAAUUCUAACUACAACCGACAAACUUCAUCAAUAAACAAAAUCACUUUAGAUAAAUGCUUAAGCCAUGGCCAUAAUGAUCUUGAAAAGGACAAGUAUAAUAUUCUUAUAAUACUCAACACAAACUCUUAUCAAAACAUAUACUUCCACCGUUCCCAUAAAGAAAAUGCAUUAGUUGAACAAAUUUCAAAAAAAAUGAAGCAUUAGGAUUCCUUUUGUAGUAAUUUUGAAAAAUUAGAGACUAAGGAC